rnacentral:tRNA from 1 species
UCCCUGGUGGUCCAGCGGUUAGGACUCCGCACUUUCACUGCAGGGGCCCAGGUUCAAUCCCUGGUCAGGGAA